CCUGGUUGAUCCUGCCAGNNNNNNNNNNNUCGUCUCACAGAGUAAGNCAUNUAUGUCUNAGAACAGACUUUUAUAAAGUGUGACCCCGNGUGNNUCAUUAAAUCAGUCGUAACCUCCGGGAGNNUGUNCCAGNUACUUGGANAACCGUGGNGAUUCUAGGGNUAAUANACGCANCACAGCCCCGAUACCGUUUCGGCGGGAGCAAGGGCGCCUUUAUUANCAUCANAUCGACUUGUCUGUUCUCACGACGGUUGUGAUGAUCCCUGGAUAACCUGCCCGAGCGCUUCGAUCACACGAUCUGCGCCUUAUCCCAUGAGCGACUGCCUUAUCAGCUAUAUCGUAAGGUAUUGGCCUACGAUGGCUGUUACGGGUAACGGGGAAUCAGGGUUCGAUUCCGGAGAGGGAGCUGAGAAACGGCUACCACAUCUAAGGAAGGCAGCAGGCACGUAAAUUACCCACUCCCAGUUCGGGGAGGUAGUGACGAAAAAUAUCGGUGCGAAACUCAACCGAGGCUUCGCCAUCGGAUUGAGACCACCCUAAACCAUUGGUCAAGUACGACUGGAGGGCAAGUCUGGUGCCAGCAGCCGCGGUAAUUCCAGCUCCAGUAGCAUAUACUAAAGUUGCUGCGGUUAAAAAGCUCAUAGUUGGAUCUCUCGACCGGACUGGCAGCCCACUGCACGGCAAUGACCAGCGCUUCGNCCUUCCUUCCGGGUUCGUCCUGGUUGUGCUAAGUCGUCGUGUCUGUGUAAGCGCCUGGUGGUUUACUGUCCAGCUCUGGUUCGAUAAAAACCGUUGGUUUGCGCGGAAUUCCCUGCGACUCAACGUCACUGGGGUGUUCCAAGCGACCGACACGUUCACUUUGAAUAAAUUAGAGUGCUUAAAGCAGGCAAAUGUUAACGCCUGAAUAAUGGUGCAUGGAAUGAUGGAACAGGACCUCGGUUCUGCUCUUUUGGUCGAUUUACGGAAUCGAGGUAAUGAUUAACAGGAACAGGCGGGGGCAUUCGUAUUGCGACGCGAGCGGUGAAAUGCGUUGACCGUCGCACGACGAACUACUGCGAAAGCAUUUGCCAAGGAUGUUUUCAUUAAUCAAGAACGAAAGUUAGAGGAUCGAAGGCGAUCAGAUACCGCCCUAGUUCUAACCAUAAACGAUGCUACCUGGCGAUCUGCCGAUGUCAUACCCACGACUCGGCAGGAAGCCUCCGGGAAACCAAAGGCUUUAGGUUCCGGGGGAAGUAUGGUUGCAAAGCUGAAACUUAAAGGAAUUGACGGAAGGGCACCACCAGGAGUGGAGCCUGCGGCUUAAUUUGACUCAACACUGGGAAACUUACCAGGUCCGGACACCGAAAGGAUUGACAGAUUGAGAGCUCUUUCUCGAUACGGUGAUAUGUGGUGNAUGNCCGUUUUUAGAUGGUGGAGUGAUNUGUCUGGUUGAUUCCGAUAACGAACGAGACUCUGACCUACUAAAUAGUCGGUGGAUCGACUCCCGAGACGGAUACCUCGGUGUGCGACCCGCUUCUGGCCUUGGUCCCACGGCUCCCUGGACAUCUGUGGUACGUAGCGGUUUCGGUCGUCAGCGGCCCGGGUGUGAUUGGUCAAGCGUGGUCCUCGGUGUUGUGGGCUCGUCCCGGGGUUCUUCCAACGAGGGGCGUCCAUCGUUUUUAUCUUCUUAGAGGGAUCGGCGACGUUUAGUCGCAUGAGAUGGAGCAAAAACAGGUCUGUGAUGCCCUUAGAUGUUCUGGGCCGCACGCGCGCUACAAUGUAGGGAUCAGCGUGCUCCUCGGUCCGAAAGGACUGAGUAAUCCCAUGAAACCCCUACCAAGUUGGGAUUGGGGCUUGUAAAUAUCUCCCAUGAACGAGGAAUUCCUAGUAAGCGCAAGUCAUCAGCUUGCGUUGAUUAAGUCCCUGCCCUUUGUACACACCGCCCGUCGCUACUACUGAUUGAAUGGUCCAGUGAGGACAUUGGACUGGCACCCUUCGCCUUCCCUCGCGGUUGGCAAUCUGGGUUUGACGGGAAGANNNNNNNNNNNNNNNNNNNNNNNNNNNNNNAAGUCGUAACAAGGUNNNNNNNNNNNAACCUGCGGAAGGAUCAUUA
rnacentral:rRNA from 1 species